GGGCGGCAGGGGAGGAACCAGACUGCGAGCGGAGAAGCGGAGUUUGCAGCCUCGGAAUUGGCUAGAGCGCCAGAGCCGAGUCAGCCAUAAAGCUACGCGCUAGGCUCUUGGCCCUGACGUGAGGCGCGCAGAGAUGGCGUAACGGGAAUAGUUUUCAACGUCUAUUUCAUUCCCUGCUUCAGAGGACCUCUUUAAUCUUUGAUUUUGGUCCCUGUUUCUAAGAAAAGCAACUGAAAAGGUCGUAAUACCGCCCCUGAGAAAAAAGGAGCAGCGCUAAAUAAUCGAGAAAAUGCCUCCUCUUGAAACGGAUAUAGAGAUGGAAACAAGAUAUAAGAAGGAUUGAGAAUCAUAUAAUACAGGAGCUUAAACACCUAUGCGCGAUGAUAAAGAGGGUACUAUUAGAGCGCUUGGAAAAUACCAGGAAGUUGAGAGAGUUAACAGAAGGGCGCACGCUGGAUUGGCCACAAAAUCGAAUUACUGAAGGCCACUACUGAUUAGGACACUUAUGGAGAACGUGGGUAGCACUGAAGCAGCAUUCUAGUUUCCAGUGCCAUCAACCUCAUACGUAUCUACCUGGUCUCUGAUCGAAGCUACCGUAAUGUGUUCUUGAGGUCAACAUGUUUUGUGGAAGUCACUGUAUUUGCCCCUUUAUGUCAAUUACCU
rnacentral:lncRNA from 1 species